UACGUAGGGCGCAAGCGUUAUCCGGAAUUAUUGGGCGUAAAGAGCUCGUAGGCGGUUUGUCGCGUCUGCCGUGAAAGUCCGGGGCUCAACUCCGGAUCUGCGGUGGGUACGGGCAGACUAGAGUGAUGUAGGGGAGACUGGAAUUCCUGGUGUAGCGGUGAAAUGCGCAGAUAUCAGGAGGAACACCGAUGGCGAAGGCAGGUCUCUGGGCAGUUCCUGACGCUGAGGAGCGAAAGCGUGGGGAGCGAACAGG
rnacentral:rRNA from 1 species